ACAACGAGUCGCCAACCCGCGAGGGUGGCGCUAAUCUCUUAAAACCAUUCUCAGUUCGGAUUGCAGGCUGCAACUCGCCUGCAUGAAGUCGGAAUCGCUAGUAAUCGCGGAUCAGCACGCCGCGGUGAAUACGUUCCCGGGCCUUGUACACACCGCCCGUCACACCACGGAAGUUGGGAGUACCCAAAGUAGGUUGCCUAACCGCAAGGAGGGCGCUUCCUAAGGUAAGACCGAUGACUGGGGUGAAGUCGUAACAAGGUACC
rnacentral:rRNA from 1 species